UACAGAGGUCCCAAGCGUUGUUCGGAUUCAUUGGGCGUAAAGGGUGCGUAGGUGGCGUCGUAAGUCGGGUGUGAAAUCUCGGGGCUUAACUCCGAAACUGCAUUCGAUACUGCGGUGCUUGAGGACUGAAGAGGAGACUGGAAUUUACGGUGUAGCAGUGAAAUGCGUAGAGAUCGUAAGGAAGACCAGUGGCGAAGGCGGGUCUCUGGAAAGUUCCUGACACUGAGGCACGAAGGCCAGGGGAGCAAACGGG
rnacentral:rRNA from 1 species